rnacentral:rRNA from 1 species
GGGAUUUGGCUUAUUGGCACCACAUGUGUUUUUUAUUGAACAAAUUUCUUUGGUGGCGGGAGCAAUCCUACCGCCAGAGGUUAUAACUAAACCAAACUUUUUAUUUACAGUCAAACUUGAUUUAUUAUUACAAUAGUCAAAACUUUCAACAACGGAUCUCUUGGUUCUCGCAUCGAUGAAGAACGCAGCGAAAUGCGAUACGUAAUAUGAAUUGCAGAUAUUCGUGAAUCAUCGAAUCUUUGAACGCACAUUGCGCCCUUUGGUAUUCCAAAGGGCAUGCCUGUUUGAGCGUCAUUUCUCCCUCAAACCCCCGGGUUUGGUGUUGAGCAAUACGCUAGGUUUGUUUGAAAGAAUUUAACGUGGAAACUUAUUUUAAGCGACUUAGGUUUAUCCAAAACGCUUAUUUUGCUAGUGGCCACCACAAUUUAUUUCAUAACUUUGACCUCAAAUCAGGUAGGACUACCCGCUGAACUUAAGCAUAUCAAAAGCCGGAGGAA